GACGAACGCUGGCGGCGUGCUUAACACAUGCAAGUCGAACGGACUACUUUGCUUCGGUAAGGUGGUUAGUGGCGAACGGGUGAGUAACGCGUAGACAACCUACCACUUAGAUGGGGACAACAUCGCGAAAGCGGUGCUAAUACCGAAUGAAGUGACUUUCCUGCAUGGGAGAGAUACUAAAGGUGGCCUCUAUUUAUAAGCUACCACUGAGAGAUGGGUCUGCGUCUGAUUAGCUAGUUGGCGGGGUAGUGGCCCACCAAGGCGACGAUCAGUAGCCGGUCUGAGAGGAUGAACGGCCACAUUGGGACUGAGACACGGCCCAAACUCCUACGGGAGGCAGCAGUGGGGAAUCUUCCGCAAUGGACGAAAGUCUGACGGAGCAACGCCGCGUGAGUGAAGAAGGUUUCGGAUCGUAAAGCUCUGUUGUUUGAGACGAAUGUGCCUGUUUCAAAUAGGGAUAGGUAAUGACGGUAUUAAACGAGAAAGCCACGGCUAACUACGUGCCAGCCGCCGCGGUAA
rnacentral:rRNA from 1 species